CCUACGGGAGGCAGCAGUGGGGAAUAUUGGACAAUGGGGGGAACCCUGAUCCAGCCAUGCCGCGUGUGUGAAGAAGGCCCUCGGGUUGUAAAGCACUUUCAGUGAGGAAGAACGCCUGGUGGUUAAUACCCAUCAGGAAAGACAUCACUCACAGAAGAAGCACCGGCUAACUCCGUGCCAGCAGCCGUGGUAAUACGGAGGGUGCGAGCGUUAAUCGGAAUUACUGGGCGUAAAGCGCGCGUAGGUGGCUUGAUAAGCCGGUUGUGAAAGCCCCGGGCUCAACCUGGGAACGGCAUCCGGAACUGUCAAGCUAGAGUGCAGGAGAGGAAGGUAGAAUUCCCGGUGUAGCGGUGAAAUGCGUAGAGAUCGGGAGGAAUACCAGUGGCGAAGGCGGCCUUCUGGACUGACACUGACACUGAGGUGCGAAAGCGUGGGUAGCAAACAGGAUUAGAUACCCCUGUAGUC
rnacentral:rRNA from 1 species